CAGAGCUCAGUGGUGGCGCAGAAAGUGUUCACUUCUUCUGUUUCGGGCUGUACGCUGUGGUUCUGCGCCUCCAGGGCUUUGCUGCCUGGCGAGCGUCCUCCCUGUACCACAGGAUCCUUGCCCGACUACAAACCCGAGGCUUCUAUUAGGAUAGUCUGGAUUCGCCAUAGGGGUUUCUCCUAGCGCGGAUUGUGUGUUUGCGUUGGCGAUGCUCAUAGAAGAAAGGCGCAGAGCUGUACGAGGAGGCGGGAUGCACGGGUCAGAGCCCUCGGUGGCCUCCGCCCGCUGCUCUUGGCGCCGGUCCGCUCCUGGAGAUAGCGCGGCAGCCGCCUGGGAGGCGAAGCGCGUAAUCUCCGCGCUACCCACGCGGGGCCGCGGCGUGGUGGCCGCACUUUGGCUUUGGGCGCUGGAUGGACAGUGGGGUAAAGGGUUGGGGUUCCCCUAACGUGGAUUACUUGGUGCUUAUCAACUGGAUUUAGAAGACUCUCGACCUGGUCUCCAUCAUCCGUGGGUUGUCUUUCCAUCUCCCAGCCGCUCUUUCACCUGGAGGCCGAGGAGACUGACCUGCUUAUCCAUGCUACUUAUCAGGAACUGUGGAACCAUGGAGAACAUGACCCUGGCCCUCCCUUCAGGAUCUGCCUGAGAUCUGGCUGCCUCUUGAGACACUAGAGCCCUGGAUUCAAUUGCGGAACAUUAUGUUGGAGAAUAUAAACACUUCUAGACUGUGCCGGCAUUUGGGAAGGAAUAGUCUGUUUUGACUUGAAUGAACAAAGACAUACGUCUCUGGGCCUGGGGAAGGCUUACCAGCUCAGCUCAUCUACUGUCUGGUGGCAAACAUGUCCUGGGUACUGCCACUACCCAGGACACUCUUCCUCACUCUGUCCCUGUCCAGUUACCGCACCCUUCCCUGUCUGACCCCGCCUCCUGUGCCCACUCGCCUCUGGACCCAGAGAUUCUUCUUGUUUGCUCUAUCAUCCUUGAGCCGGAUACAGGGUGAAUAGUUAACCACACUUGGGUUGAAUGGGAUCUUGAUUCUUAUUUCUGUUCCUUGGAAAGAGGGGUCAGACUCGGUGCGUGGCACCCGGCCUGGAAGCAGCACAAGACUCCAGAGUGAUACAUGAUCUGCCUGGAUGGUCCCAGGGGCUCUUUGGAGGUCAGAGCAAGAGGAGCAGCCUGAGCAGGGGGGCUGAGGAGGGCCGGCACUGGAUCACACGCAGGCGUAUGUCUGGAUAGGCAGAGAGGAACCCACUUUUCAUUCCCUCUUCUGUGACACAAAUGCAAGGAACUUUGAAGACACUCUUCGGAGGUUGCAAUCGGAGAUCAGCUUAUCCAAGGGCUUCAUGUCUGAGCUCUGUUGGUCGUGCCUCCUGAGGACCUCUUUCCUCUACUGUAUGCUGAUGACACACCCAUCCGAUGGGAGCUGGAGCCUUGUCUGGUCCUUUCCUCUAUGACCCCACGUGUACAGUUGGAAAUCCUUCCUAAUCAUGCCUUGAUUCCCCCUUUUCGACUACACUCAAAGAUGUUUGAGCUGUUUUAUUUGCAAAAUGGAUGGACAGUUUGUUUAUAUAAAACAAUCCCAGCUUCCUUGUGCUCUAUCUGGUGUGUUUGUAUGGCUCUUCAGUGACUUUAAAGUGGAGCAUUGACCUUGGCCUCUUUGAUUCUCCAUGGUGGAAUAGAGAAGACCUCUUGAGGAUGCUUAAUGUUGCUGAGAUCUUAAGAAGGCUUGCAGACUUCCUCUUCCUCCCUCCUUCUCCCACCUCCUCCUUCCCUAAGCAGCCUCU
rnacentral:lncRNA from 1 species